rnacentral:rRNA from 1 species
UACGUAGGGUGCGAGCGUUAAUCGGAAUUACUGGGCGUAAAGCGUGCGCAGGCGGUGAGCUGUGUCCGAUGUGAAAGCCCCGGGCUUAACCUGGGAAUGGCAUUGGAAACUGGCUCGCUGGAGUGUGGUAGAGGUGAGUGGAAUUGCGAGUGUAGAGGUGAAAUUCGUAGAUAUUCGCAGGAACACCAGUGGCGAAGGCGGCGAUCUGGGAAGAUACUGACGCUGAGGUGCGAAAGCGUGGGGAGCAAACAGG